UACGUAGGGGGCUAGCGUUGUCCGGAUUUAUUGGGCGUAAAGCGCGCGUAGGCGGCUUUGUAAGUUAGAGGUGAAAGCCCGGAGCUCAACUCCGGAACUGCCUUUAAAACUGCAUCGCUUGAAUCCAGGAGAGGUGAGUGGAAUUCCGAGUGUAGAGGUGAAAUUCGUAGAUAUUCGGAAGAACACCAGUGGCGAAGGCGGCUCACUGGACUGGUAUUGACGCUGAGGUGCGAAAGCGUGGGGAGCAAACAGG
rnacentral:rRNA from 1 species